rnacentral:sRNA from 1 species
AGGGUUUGCGGCUUCCUGACAAUGGUAGUUCAGCGAGCCGACGCCAACGGGAGCCACCCACGACUAUCAUCGGAGCUCAACCCGGUGAGGGAGAACUGCCAGAAUUUCUUCGUGAAUCAGCCCUGUUCGUGGUUCCCUCAACGAUUUCUUUGCCAUGCUCUGCAAACCAGUUAUCCCCUGCCGUUGGCUUUUUAGCAACGUCGAUCGCGGGCUCCUCCCGCAGCCAGUCAACACCCUCAACACCAUCAAGCUCCAAGCCCGUUCUUUGCAAGUUUGGCAAUGGCUCGGCCAGAGCUCAGCAAAUAAGUGGUAGGAUGAGCAAUUCCAGCCACCUCUCACGCUUAUCCAUGGCGUACUCAAAUAAGGUAUCGCGUGUUUCAAAAUACUGCAAGAAGUUUAUUUUUUAAUCCAUCAGCGAAAUGGCCAGCAUUUUAUCUUCGAAGGAAACACAGCAUACUUUUGCUAAGAUUCGCGUUUGAAAUGGUUUAACUUUUCCCAGUUAUUUAUGCCUUGAUUCAUUCAACAGUUUUCGACGCAGACCUGAAACAUAUUUCUCCGUAUUUUGACAUUGGCGGGGUUCAGCGUGGUGUACGCAAUGCCAGACGUCACCAGGUAGCCAUCAAGAAGAUAUUUUUCAAGAACAACCACACAACAUGAAAUUCAAACAAUGGUUUAUAUAGGCCAAAAAUAUACUGACUACUCGGCCGGGAAACCACGAUAGAUAUUAUUUAUUUUUCUCUAGCUGAGACUGCGGUGACACCUUGGGAAUUACCCAUCUCGCACCGACGGUGGGACGCACGGCCACGUUGGCUCUGAUGAUUUAUUCAAAUAUCCUGCUGGCAACUCCAAGCGUCCCGAUUCAGAGGCACUAGAAGGCCUGGUGGUAGACGCAACAACGUUUAUUUCCUUGUGGGAUUUAUGAACUUCGCAAAUCAAAUCAUGAAGCGAG